GAUGAACGCUGGCGGCGUGCCUAAUACAUGCAAGUAGAACGCACAGUUUAUACCGUAGCUUGCUACACCAUAGACUGUGAGUUGCGAACGGGUGAGUAACGCGUAGGUAACCUGCCUGGUAGCGGGGGAUAACUAUUGGAAACGAUAGCUAAUACCGCAUAAUAUUAAUUAUUGCAUGAUAAUUAAUUGAAAGGUGCAAUUGCACCACUACCAGUUGGACCUGCGUUGUAUUAGCUAGUAGGUGAGGUAACGGCUCACCUAGGCGACGAUACAUAGCCGACCUGAGAGGGUGAUCGGCCACACUGGGACUGAGACACGGCCCAGACUCCUACGGGAGGCAGCAGUAGGGAAUCUUCGGCAAUGGACGAAAGUCUGACCGAGCAACGCCGCGUGAGUGAAGAAGGUUUUCGGAUCGUAAAGCUCUGUUGUAAGAGAAGAAACGGGUGUGAGAGUGGAAAG
rnacentral:rRNA from 1 species